ACGCUCGACACCUACUGGAGGCAGCAGUGGGGAAUAUUGCACAAUGGGGGAAACCCUGAUGCAGCGACGCCGCGUGGAGGAAGAAGGUCUUCGGAUUGUAAACUCCUGUUGUUGGGGAAAAAGAGGAUGGUACCCAACAAGGAAGUGACGGCUAACUACGUGCCAACAGCCGCGGUAAUCUGAGCGGGCUGGCAAGGC
rnacentral:rRNA from 1 species